rnacentral:rRNA from 1 species
UACGAAGGGUGCAAGCGUUACUCGGAAUUACUGGGCGUAAAGCGUGCGUAGGUGGUUUGUUAAGUCUGAUGUGAAAGCCCUGGGCUCAACCUGGGAAUUGCAUUGGAUACUGGCAGGCUAGAGUGCGGUAGAGGAUGGCGGAAUUCCGGGUGUAGUGGUGAAAUGCGUAGAGAUCCGGAGGAACCCCAGAGGCGAAGGCGGCGCCCUGGCUCGCAACUGACGCUCAGACACGACAGCAUGGGGAGCGAACGGG